rnacentral:rRNA from 1 species
UAACACGUGAGCAACCUGCCUUUCAGAGGGGGAUAACGUUUGGAAACGAACGCUAAUACCGCAUAAAAUAUCCAGCAGGCAUCUGCAGGAUAUCAAAGGAGUAAUCCGCUGAAAGAUGGGCUCGCGACCGAUUAGCUAGAUGGUGAGGUAACGGCUCACCAUGGCGACGAUCGGUAGCCGGACUGAGAGGUUGACCGGCCACAUUGGGACUGAGACACGGCCCAGACUCCUACGGGAGGCAGCAG